UCCGCCUGGGAACUACGAGCAGCAGCUUAAAACCCAAAGGACUUGGCGGUGCUUUAAACCCACCUAGAGGAGCCUGUUCUAGAACCGAUAGCCCCCGUUCAACCUCACCUUUCCUUGUUUUACCCGCCUAUAUACCGCCGUCGUCAGCUUACCCUGUGAAGGUCUAAUAGUAAGCAAAACUGGCUUAGCCCAAAACGUCAGGUCGAGGUGUAGCGCAUGGGAGGGGAAGAAAUGGGCUACAUUCGCUGCUGCAGCGAAUACGGAUGAUGCACUGAAACGUUCAUCUGAAGGAGGAUUUAGCAGUAAGCAAAAAAUAGAGUGUUCCGCUGAAAUUGGCCCUGAAGCGCGCACACACCGCCC
rnacentral:rRNA from 1 species